rnacentral:piRNA from 1 species
AGCCCGAAACAACCCAGCCGGAAGGGGU